rnacentral:rRNA from 1 species
UUGUAAUGUGAGCAGCCUGGGUGGUCAGUGCAGGUAAGUGACAUGAAAAUGUUCGCCGGGAGGGUGAGAGCCCCGUCCAGCCUGCACAGGGCGUGCCGUACAGGGCUGUCUCGAAUGAGUCGGGUAGCUUGGGAAUGCUGCUCUAAGAUCGGUGGUAAAUUUCAUCGAAGGCUAAAUACUGCUGGAAGACCGAUAGUGAACAAGUACCGUGAGGGAAAGAUGAAAAGCACUUUGAAAAGAGGGUGAAAAGAAUCUGAAACCGUUGUGAGGGAAGCGGAUUGCGUUGCAGUAACUGUGGGCGCCGGUGUGUUCAGCCUGUUUCGGCGGGUGUAGUGGCACCGGUGGCUCCGUCUGCUGUGGGUUUGUGGUGGCUGAUUGCAAGGCUGCUGCGGACUGAGGGCUCCGUGCUGCUUUGCGGCGGCACGUGAGGACGGCAGGGUGACGACGCGAUACGACCCGUCUUGAAACACGGACCAAGGAGUCUAGCACAGCUGCGAGUCUGAGGGUGUCAAAGCCUGUGGGCGAAGUGAAAGCGAAAGAUGGCGGUAAUUCCAUAAUUUCAGAAUGACAAAGUUGUUGCAAUUUGGGG